rnacentral:rRNA from 1 species
UACGUAGGGGGCAAGCGUUAUCCGGAUUUACUGGGUGUAAAGGGAGCGUAGACGGCGAUGCGAGCCAGAUGUGAAAGCCCGGGGCUCAACCCCGGGACUGCAUUUGGAACUGUAUAGCUAGAGUGUCGGAGAGGCAGGCGGAAUUCCUAGUGUAGCGGUGAAAUGCGUAGAUAUUAGGAGGAACACCAGUGGCGAAGGCGGCCUGCUGGACGAUGACUGACGUUGAGGCUCGAAAGCGUGGGGAGCAAACAGG